rnacentral:rRNA from 1 species
UACGUAGGGUGCAAGCGUUAUCCGGAAUUAUUGGGCGUAAAGAGCUCGUAGGCGGUUUGUUGCGUCUGCUGUGAAAACCCGAGGCUCAACCUCGGGCCUGCAGUGGGUACGGGCAAACUAGAGUGCGGUAGGGGAGAUUGGAAUUCCUGGUGUAGCGGUGGAAUGCGCAGAUAUCAGGAGGAACACCGAUGGCGAAGGCAGAUCUCUGGGCCGUAACUGACGCUGAGGAGCGAAAGCAUGGGGAGCGAACAGG